rnacentral:rRNA from 1 species
CCUACGGGAGGCUGCAGUGGGGAAUAUUGGACAAUGGGCGAAAGCCUGAUCCAGCCAUGCCGCGUGUGUGAAGAAGGCCUUCGGGUUGUAAAGCACUUUCAGUGGGGAAGAAAGCCUUGGGGCUAAUACCCUCGAGGAAGGACAUCACCCACAGAAGAAGCACCGGCUAACUCCGUGCCAGCAGCCGCGGUAAUACGGAGGGUGCGAGCGUUAAUCGGAAUUACUGGGCGUAAAGCGCGCGUAGGCGGUCUGAUAAGCCGGUUGUGAAAGCCCCGGGCUCAACCUGGGAACGGCAUCUGGAACUGUCAGGCUAGAGUGCAGGAGAGGAAGGUAGAAUUCCCGGUGUAGCGGUGAAAUGCGUAGAGAUCGGGAGGAAUACCAGUGGCGAAGGCGGCCUUCUGGACUGACACUGACGCUGAGGUGCGAAAGCGUGGGUAGCAAACAGGAUUAGAUACCCCUGUAGUC